ACUGCCUGAACCACCACGCCUUCAACAGCGGGCUGCUGCAGCAUCGACCGGAAGCAAACAAAAGGACGACACUCACAAGGAACGAAGAAGCCAGCUAUCCUUGUCAACUUGAUGUUUUAGCUUUCAUUUUGUACAACUCAUCUCCCAUACUUACAUCUUUUAGUUGUCCAUUUGUGAACCUGAUGUAUGGUGUCUUGGUGGUUAUGUUUCUAACAAACUAAAGUGCAUAUAUGUGAUAUAAUUAGUUAAUGGAAUAAAAGCUGAUUGGUGCACAUAAUGUGAACCUGAUA